AACAUAACUUCAAACAUUUGGUUCAAAGGGCUCUGCAGAAGAGAUCUACAACCAACAAAAUUGAGUUAAGAGAAGUAUAAACCACAUUUCUAAUGAGGCAAAAAAUUCCUAAUGUGUUAGUCAUUAUUUGCCGCGGACCUGCCAAGAUUUACGCAUCCCCUAGAGCCCUGAACUAUAUGUCACGAACGACAACACCACCAUGGAAAGUAAAAACUCGAGUACAACGGAAGAGAAACUAACAAGAGUGAGGAAUAGCAAGAGUAACCUCUAAAGUGAGUAGUUUUGCUAGAGUAGAACUUGAAAGUACAACUGAAUUAGCUAGUGGGGCGAAAUGAGGCUGGUUAGUCCCAUGCACUGGUCACGCCUGCUGUUCCAUACGAUGCAUUAUACCCCCCAGAUGCAUAGCCACUGUUCAUAUUGGCACCACCACCAUAAUAGUCGGUAGAACCACCACUAGCACCUCGGUUAUAAGAGGAAUCUCUUCGAAAGUCACGAGCACCAAAACGAGCUCCACCACGACGAUUCUUG
rnacentral:misc_RNA from 1 species